UUAUGAAGUUAGCGGCGGACGGGUGAGUAACACGUGGGUAACCUGCCCAUAAGACUGGGAUAACUCCGGGAAACCGGGGCUAAUACCGGAUAACAUUUUGAACUGCAUGGUUCGAAAUUGAAAGGCGGCUUCGGCUGUCACUUAUGGAUGGACCCGCGUCGCAUUAGCUAGUUGGUGAGGUAACGGCUCACCAAGGCAACGAUGCGUAGCCGACCUGAGAGGGUGAUCGGCCACACUGGGACUGAGACACGGCCCAGACUCCUACGGGAGGCAGCAGUAGGGAAUCUUCCGCAAUGGACGAAAGUCUGACGGAGCAACGCCGCGUGAGUGAUGAAGGCUUUCGGGUCGUAAAACUCUGUUGUUAGGGAAGAACAAGUGCUAGUUGAAUAAGCUGGCACCUUGACGGUACCUAACCAGAAAGCCACGGCUAACUACGUGCCAGCAGCCGCGGUAAUACGUAGGUGGCAAGCGUUAUCCGGAAUUAUUGGGCGUAAAGCGCGCGCAGGUGGUUUCUUAAGUCUGAUGUGAAAGCCCACGGCUCAACCGUGGAGGGUCAUUGGAAACUGGGAGACUUGAGUGCAGAAGAGGAAAGUGGAAUUCCAUGUGUAGCGGUGAAAUGC
rnacentral:rRNA from 1 species